rnacentral:rRNA from 1 species
UCAGAGGCGAUGAAGGGCGUGCUAAUCUGCGAUAAGCGCCGGUAAGGUGAUAUGAACCGUUAUAACCGGCGAUACCCGAAUGGGGAAACCCAGUGUGACUCGUCACACUAUCAUUAACUGAAUCCAUAGGUUAAUGAGGCGAACCGGGGGAACUGAAACAUCUAAGUACCCCGAGGAAAAGAAAUCAACCGAGAUUCCCCCAGUAGCGGCGAGCGAACGGGGAGGAGCCCAGAGCCUGAAUCAGCAUGUGUGUUAGUGGAAGCGUCUGGAAAGGCGCGCGAUACAGGGUGACAGCCCCGUACACAAAAGCGCAUGUGCUGUGAGCUCGAUGAGUAGGGCGGGACACGUGGUAUCCUGUCUGAAUAUGGGGGGACCAUCCUCCAAGGCUAAAUACUCCUGACUGACCGAUAGUGAACCAGUACCGUGAGGGAAAGGCGAAAAGAACCCCGGCGAGGGGAGUGAAAAAGAACCUGAAACCGUGUACGUACAAGCAGUGGGAGCCCCACCACCAAAGCAUUUGCUGUACCGCGUUGACGGAGCGAAGCGACGUCAAACCGAUAAAACAGCAGUGUAAAGUGAGCCGCAGGGCGCUUUGCGCGACAGCGCAAAGGCAGGCGGUUUCGCGUAGCGAAAGCGAAUGCUUUGGGGUGGGGUGACUGCGUACCUUUUGUAUAAUGGGUCAGCGACUUAUAUUCUGUAGCAAGGUUAACCGAAUAGGGGAGCCGGAGGGAAACCGAGUCUUAAUUGGGCGUUAAGUUGCAGGGUAUAGACCCGAAACCCGGUGAUCUAGCCAUGGGCAGGUUGAAGGUUGGGUAACACUAACUGGAGGACCGAACCGACUAAUGUUGAAAAAUUAGCGGAUGACCUGUGGCUGGGGGUGAAAGGCCAAUCAAACCGGGAGAUAGCUGGUUCUCCCCGAAAGCUAUUUAGGUAGCGCCUCGUGAAUUCAUCUCCGGGGGUAGAGCACUGUUUCGGCUAGGGGGCCAUCCCGGCUUACCAACCCGAUGCAAACUGCGAAUACCGGAGAAUGUUAUCACGGGAGACACACGGCGGGUGCUAACGUCCGUCGUGAAGAGGGAAACAACCCAGACCGCCAGCUAAGGUCCCAAAGUCAUGGUUAAGUGGGAAACGAUGUGGGAAGGCCCAGACAGCCAGGAUGUUGGCUUAGAAGCAGCCAUCAUUUAAAGAAAGCGUAAUAGCUCACUGGUCGAGUCGGCCUGCGCGGAAGAUGUAACGGGGCUAAACCAUGCACCGAAGCUGCGGCAGCGACACUGUGUGUUGUUGGGUA